AGGACGAACGCUGGCGGCGUGCCUAAUACAUGCAAGUCGAGCGAACCGAUGGAGUGCUUGCAUUCCUGAGGUUAGCGGCGGACGGGUGAGUAACACGUAGGCAACCUGCCUGUACGACCGGGAUAACUCCGGGAAACCGGAGCUAAUACCGGAUAGGAUGCCGAACCGCAUGGUUCGGCAUGGAAAGGCCUUUGAGCCGCGUACAGAUGGGCCUGCGGCGCAUUAGCUAGUUGGUGGGGUAACGGCCUACCAAGGCGACGAUGCGUAGCCGACCUGAGAGGGUGAACGGCCACACUGGGACUGAGACACGGCCCAGACUCCUACGGGAGGCAGCAGUAGGGAAUCUUCCGCAAUGGACGAAAGUCUGACGGAGCAACGCCGCGUGAGUGAGGAAGGUCUUCGGAUCGUAAAACUCUGUUGUCAGGGAAGAACCGCCGGGAUGACCUCCCGGUCUGACGGUACCUGACGAGAAAGCCCCGGCUAACUACGUGCCAGCAGCCGCGGUAAUACGUAGGGGGCAAGCGUUGUCCGGAAUUAUUGGGCGUAAAGCGCGCGCAGGCGGCUUCUUAAGUCAGGUGUGAAAGCCCACGGCUCAACCGUGGAGGGCCAUCUGAAACUGGGGAGCUUGAGUGCAGGAGAGGAGAGCGGAAUUCCACGUGUAGCGGUGAAAUGCGUAGAGAUGUGGAGGAACACCAGUGGCGAACGCGGCUCUCUGGCCUGUAACUGACGCUGAUGCUCCAAAGCGUGUCGAGCAUACAGGAUUACAUACCCUGGUAGACCACUCCGCAUAC
rnacentral:rRNA from 1 species